GGCAGCACAGUAAGAGCUUGCUCUUAUGGGUGGCGAGUGGCGGACGGGUGAGGAAUACAUCGGAAUCUACUUUUUCGUGGGGGAUAACGUAGGGAAACUUACGCUAAUACCGCAUACGACCUUCGGGUGAAAGCAGGGGACCUUCGGGCCUUGCGCGAUUGAAUGAGCCGAUGUCGGAUUAGCUAGUUGGCGGGGUAAAGGCCCACCAAGGCGACGAUCCGUAGCUGGUCUGAGAGGAUGAUCAGCCACACUGGAACUGAGACACGGUCCAGACUCCUACGGGAGGCAGCAGUGGGGAAUAUUGGACAAUGGGCGCAAGCCUGAUCCAGCCAUACCGCGUGGGUGAAGAAGGCCUUCGGGUUGUAAAGCCCUUUUGUUGGGAAAGAAAU
rnacentral:rRNA from 1 species